UGUAAAGGGACUUCCGCUAAAGGCGUGGAUCCUGUGAAAGUACGUCCUGUUCACAACGCGGAAGUCACCGCAUCCUGCGGA
rnacentral:sRNA from 1 species